CUUUUAUUAAAACUACGUCGUUUUGGAGGAACGCGGUGGUAUUUUUAUAAAUAUAAUGCCACCGCGUAUUUAUAAAAAUGUCACCGCGUCCCUCCAAAACGACGUAAUUUUAAUAAAAGAAUACUAUUUAAGGAGAAAUGUUAUUUAAGGAGAAUGCUCUUGAUCCUGACCGUGUAUAUAUAUAUAGGGUCCGGUUCCUGUAAGGGCUCUCUUACUUUGUUAAAAUACGGAAUUUUUUUUUGUUUUUUUUUAAAACAACUAAAAAAAAAAGUUUAAUAUUUUAUGGAACUGAAUUUUUUUCAUAAUACAAUGUUUUAGAUGUGAUUUGGAUACGUAUAACAAAACAGGUCUGUACAGUCUGUGCAGACUGUAUCACCAUUUUUUGGUAUAGGUAUUCAAAUCACGCCCAAAACAUUAUUUUAUGGAAAAAUAUCAAUUCCAUAAAAUAUUAAAUAUUUUUUUUUAGUUGUUUAAAAAAAAAAAAGUCCACAUUUUAACAAAAUAAUGUUUUGGGCGUGAUUUGAAUAUAUAUUAAAUAUAUUGAUACACGGACCCAUCUCACCUGAUCGAUUAUAUAUAUAUAUAUAUAUAUAUUCAAUCUGAAUUUUAAACUCACCCUUAAAAUACAUACCCAUCUCACCUAUUUAUACCCUCCCCAACUAUUGUUUUUAUGUGCUUUUCAGUUGUAGUUAGUUAAUAACUACUACAUUUAAAUAUUAUUCACAAUAUUAUUAGAGUAUACAUUUGAUCUACUAUUGAGUGUAAACAAAUUUUGACACAAGUACUAGUAUAAUGUACACUAUAAGUAUUCUUCUUCUAUUUGGAAUAAAAGGAAACACUUUUUAAAAUUAUAAAUAACAAUAUUGUUUUUUCUAAGCAAACGAGUGUAAGAUCCGAAUUAUAUAUUUAUAUCUAUUUAUCUAAUAAAAUACAAUUGAUUUUGAAUUUUUCGUUCACAUUAAUAAAUCAUCUAAGUCAUUCAAAGUUUGAGAUAAAUUUCAUUGUCAUGUAGUGCGGGAGGCACAUGACACAACUAAUAUAUAUAUAUAUAUAUAUUAUAUUAGUAAUUGUAUAGGAGGAGAGUGCCAAUUUUUUUUUAAAAAAAGGAGUUCUACUAUCAUCGAUAAGGAUCAAGAGCAUUCUUCUUAAAUAGCAUUAUGUCUUAAAUAACAUUCUUUUAUUAAAAUUACGUCGUUUUGGAGGGACGCGGUGGUAUUUUUGUAAAUACGCAUUGUAUUUAUAAAAAUGUCACCGCGUCCCUCCAAAACGACGUAAUUUUAAUAAAAGAAUGCUAUUUAAGACGGAAUGCUAUUUAAAGAGAAUGCUCUUGAUCCUGACCGCUACUAUCAUUCAGCAUGUUUUUUUUCGGUGACUUAAACAUCAAACUAUAAAGAAUGGCAAAAAUUAAACCAAUAUAAUAUUUUAUUAUUAUUUAUUUAUUUUUGCAAAUUUAUAAACUAGAACCAAACGGUAAAGGACAAUGGUGAAUAGGGUUCAAGGGAGGUUUUAUGUUCGAUUUCAUCAGUCUCACUAUCUCAAAGUGUCCAGUACCUCCCUUAUCUACCAUCCUCCCUUAUCUACCAUCCUAUUCCCUCCCUCCCUCCGUCUUGCCAGAAACGACAGUCAUUCGCAGAGAUGGCUUCCUUAUCUCCGACCCCUAAAGCUCAACUUCACUCUUCAUGGAGACCCAAAAUUCGCAAGUUAAAUCAAAAUUCAAACACCCACUCCCACCUUCUCUUCAUCUCAACCCCCAUAUCUCAAAGAUUUUUAACGAACCCAUCUCUUUGCUCUUCUUCUUUCCCUUAUAACCUCAAAUUACCUUCGCUGAGCAAUCCAAUUUCAAUUCAUUUACACCCCUUAUCAGACUCAACUGACGAAAAUUUAACGGAAAACCGUGAAGAUUUAGCAAAUUUACAAACAAUUACUAUUGGGAUUAAUCAGAUUCCUCCCCAAUCAACCCAGAGAAUUUUCAUUCAAGACCCUCCUUGGAUUAAUUCCUUAUUUAUGAGGAAUCUGUAUAAUAGGACUAAACAAAGGGUGAAGAUAGAAUUCAAAGAAAUCGAAAGGCGAAAAUAUUAUCUGUUGAGGAGGAGACAAAUUAAGGCAGAGACUGAGGCCUGGGAGAAUAUGGUGGAGGAGUAUAGGGAGUUGGAGAAAGAGAUGUGUGAGAAAAAAUUGGCACCCAAUUUGCCUUAUGUGAAGAAGUUGUUUUUGGGUUGGUUUGAGCCCUUGAGGGAAGCCAUUGCCAAGGAGCAGAAAUCGCAACAAACUAGGAAGCAUAAGGCUGCUUAUUCACCCCAUAUUGAUUGCCUGCCAGCGGAUAAGAUGGCUGUUAUAGUAAUGCACAAGAUGAUGGCAUUGCUGAUGAUGGGGCAAGAGGGUAGAUGUGUCCGGGUUGUUCAAGCUGCUGUUCAAAUCGGCGUAGCCAUUGAGCAGGAGGUGAGUCUUGGCAUGUCUCAAUUUAAUUUUUUAUACAAUGUUGUAAUUGUGAAGGAUAGUGAAAUUGGAUUGUACCUAGGCUAUUAUGGUGUGGAAUAGUAGAGGAAAUAACAAUUUUGGAGAAGCAUCUAUAAGUAUAUGAUUUGUAACAAAAUAUGUCAUAGAUGUUGCUAUUUGAUAUGAAAGUGUUGAAAUUGUAAGGUAACAUUUAACUGUCCCUGGAAAAGAAAUCAUUUCAAUUCUCUAAUUUUGCUAUUAAAUAACUGCGAUGUGUUAGAUAGUCUUUCUGGGAACUUAAGAAAAGAUAUCUUUAGUGGCUAGGAAAGAAUAAUCCCAAUUCCAAUUGAUUAAGCUUGUUAUCCCACUUUUUUUUAGUAAUUUAUCUAGAAAUGAUUGUUGACACCUUAUUAACACCAUUUUUAAUAAUAGAUGUGGGUAAUUUUACUUUUUUGAUAGCAGAAGAUAUAUGUAUUAUUUUGAUAAACAAUAGAAGAAGAUAUAUGCAAUUUAAUAGAGGAAUAUUUGGGAAGACGAAGAAUAUAUAGCGAGAUAGAUAAGGCAAACCCAGUCGUUAAUUUACAAUAUCACAUGUUACAUGCUCACUAUCUGUACUAGAAUUGAACUCGAGCUAAAAUGCACCACUGACAUAUAUUAUGAGAAUGUGCACCUAACUUGGGAAUAAAGAAAAUUAGUACUACCCAUGUGACUUUACUAUCUUCUAGAAUAUUUUUAUUAACUACUUGAUUCAGGACAACAAUCUGAAGGAUGAAUAACAGAAAAAAACAACUUGGGUUAUUGUCUGCACCUAACGACCCCCUAGGAUAUCUUGUUUACCCUAGGCUCUCUUAAUUGUGUAAUGUGUACCCCUAGACUCUCUUAAUAGCGCGUAUUUAAAGGGAAAAGCAAAAACCCUAUUAUCGACUUAAAAGAGAACUAUCGUAAUGACUUAAGUAAAAUAACUUAAUACCCUAAUUUCUAAAUAAAAUAUAUAAACUACCAUAGAUCAAUCCCCAAGUAUUAAAUAAAAUAAAUCCUAAUUACAUCAAUUGCUGCACAAUUAAAAAUAUAUAAACCAACUACUAUAGCAUAUUGUUGUGAUCCUUAUCAAGCGUAAUGCUAGAAUGCUCAGAGACAGUCACUCAUCCUUUAAUCCUUUAAUUUAUUGAAGAAUAUGGUUAUUUUAAUCACAUCUUGUUGGGCUUCUACUAUCGGGGCCUGUAGGAGUUCCUCUAUGACUGAUCUAUGUUGAGAGUGACACUGGAGGGCUACACUUUUUUAAAUGUUCCUUUUGUCUUGUUUCCAAUUAGUUCUACGAGGGUGGGCUUCUCGCCUGUUAUUUUAUUGUACCGUCUAUUUUUUAUUAAUAAAAUUAAGUUAUCUAACAAAAAAUUGUUUAAUUUUAGUCUUCUCUUAUAAAAUAAAUAAAAUAUUAGCCUUCCCUUCUAUUUCUAUCUAAGUUAUUUUAGUAUGUGCGUAGUUACAAUUGGUCUUUGUGUCUGUCAGCCAAUUUAUAAUCAACUUUAGCUUGGUUUGUGGUUUUCUUUUAUUGUAGUGGGUUCCAUCAAUAUCAACCUGCAUUGGCAGCUUAUGUUGUGUGCCAAUGUAAAUCAGAUUUAGUUUGAAUCUCUAGAUUGGGCGAAUUAUUGAAAUUACUCUUCCUUCUCAUAUGUUGAAAAGCAAUCUCUUUAACCUAUAAAAGUAGCUACCUUCAUGUCACAGUACACUUUCCCAUUACACCAGUACGCUAUCCAAUGCUACAUUACACUGAUUUAAUUAUUAAAGUAUGAGUAUUACAACAUUUUAUAUAUUCUUCUAUUUCUUAUUGUAGGCGAAAUGACACUUGAUAAUGAGUAAUUUUCAGGUUAGAAUUCAUAGUUUCUUGGAGAAAACUAAGAAGUACCACAAAGGGAAGAUUGUAACACAAGCUCAAGAAGAUUUAAGUAAAGAGACAGAGAUACUGAGGAAACGUGUCAGAAGGUUGAUCAAAAGGAAAAGAAUCAUUGAGGUGCAAAAGCUUGUGAACAAUGAAGAGAUUAAGUCUUGGGGUCGAGAUACACAGGCUAAGGUAUGUGCUUUUUAGUAUUUGUUCUUUCUGAAAAGAGUUAUAUAUGGGAAUUUAUCCGAAAAAGAGUAAUAGAUGGUAUUUAGAGAUUAUUAUAUCUAAAGCUCUUUACAAAAUAAUUAUUCUUUCUAACAUAAUGCAGCUGGGAUGUCGUCUGAUAGAGCUAUUAACAGAAACAGCUUAUGUACAACCUCCAAUUGACCAGUCAGCAGAUGCUCCACCUGAUAUUCGUCCUGCAUUUAGGCAUAAGUUCAAAAUUGUGGCAAAGGAUGCAAGGUGAGAAUGUUCUUCCUUCCAUAAGCACUUAUUAUUAAGAAAGUCGGUCUCACUCUCUCUCACUAUAUCAUUUUACACAAUGGUAAGACUGGGAUAAAUCAAUCAUUGGUCCAACUGCGUAAAUGGGCGAGUUCUAUUAGAUGUCUGCGUAUGUUCUACCACUGUUUGUUGUUGUUCAAGAGGCGAUGAACAACUAUUUAAAUUUGUUUGCUAUCCAUUACCCAAUAGCUCAUUGGAAAAAAUGAAUGAUUCACAUAUAAUCAAUUUAUUUCUUCCUUUAGUUGAAAUUCUAAAUUAAUUAUUUGUCCUUUGUAGGCAGAGCAUUGGGAAGCGAUAUGGAGUUAUAGAAUGUGAUCCCUUGGUCCUCACUGGACAUGAGAGAACUGUGAGUUAGAUAUGCCUCAUUGCCUCUUAUUUGUUCUAAUCUUGUUAUGUCCAUAUACUAUUAUUUGCAGCAGUAAGUUGCUAUCUUGAUAUUUUUUUACUUUUUACUAAUUCCUUGGAAAAAAAGCUUUAGAUAGGUUUUCAGUCAUCAACAUAGGUCAAGGGCGCGCCGGAACGGGCAGUUCCGUCUAUCACCUUAUUGUGAAAGACCAAAUUGGCCCGUUUUGCCAUAAGUACCUCCAUAUUCGGCUGAGUUGGAUUUGACAAUGUGUUUGAGUCAGUGAUUGUAAAACUUUCUUUAUACUUUGUAUUAGAAGAAAUGCAUAGACUUAUGGUCUUCAUAUAAUGAUAUUCCAUCUAUCUCGACAAUAAUUACGAGACGAAGGUAGUAUCAUUUUUCAUUGCUAUAAUCCUGCUACUUCACACAAAAUACAAUUUAAUUUGUGUUAGAUUUGUUUUUCUUUCUUUCUUUUGAUGAGUAAAUAAUUAAUUAAAAUAUUUAAUACAAUUGUGGGCAUUACACUUCUAUUGUUUGUACAAUAAGUAGUUCUUUUGCAAAAAAAUUUGAUAUAAAAUUUCUUUUUGUGGAAUUGUUUAAUUCUCCCAAUCCAAAAAGAGAGGUGUCUUAAUUUUUUUUACACAUAUCAAUGUUUGCUUAGUAGUUAGGACACACUUUGAUAUAAUGUUUUUUUUAAUUUUAAAUUUUAAGGCUAAAGUUUGUUAUGAGGAAAAAAUUAUAUAACUAAUCAUAUGAUUCAUAUUUUGGGUGCAUCCUAGGUAAACCGUAAUAUGUGAAAAAAAUUCAACAAGUCAAAUACGUCUCUCUAUUUUUGACAGAGGGAGUAUGAGUAUCUGAUAAAGUUUGGGCACAUGAACAUUUAUUUAUCGUUUAAUUUUUCAAAUACGUACAUAUAUAACUCUUUAAUUUUUUUUGGUAUGCAGGUUAAGCAUAUGAUAAUUCCUUAUGUGCCAAUGCUUGUGCCACCCAAAAGGUGGAAAGGGUAUGAUAUCAAUCUAAAACUAAUGGAAAUUGUCCCUAUUGUUAUGGUGGGGUAAGCAUUUGGGAAUGUGUUGUGUGGAACUUUCCAUCUUAGAGCUCGUUUGGCGGAGCGGUGUGGUGGAGUUGAAGCACUUUAGAUCAAAAUUGGAUUUUUUUUUUUGUGCUUGGUGAUCCCUUCAUAAGCAGUUAUAGCAAGUAGAGAUUUGGACUCCAAAGCACUUUUGGUUGAAACAAAAAAUUUGUGCUCUUGGCUGAAAUAUUUUUGGCGGAAGUACAAAGUAAAACUUUAUCCUUAAAUUAUUGAAGAAAAGUAAAAUGCCAUACCACACACUUGCCUACAAGUUUUUCAUUAAUUUUUUUAAAUCACUGUUACAAUCAUGCAACAUAACACGAUUUUAAUUUUCUCAUGGAAGUACUUUUGUCAACAGGUCUAAAUUUAGAAGUGCUUCUACUUAUAGCACUACACCGCACCGCUCCACCAAAUGGACACUUAGUGGUCUCACACUUUCGAAGAGGAAUAAAUGGAGCAACAGUUAGAGAUAGGAAUGCCUGUAUAUUAAUAUGCAAUAAAUAAUUUUUUGGUGUACGCAUAGAACCUAGAAAGUGGUAAGUCUGCUCGUGGCCAAAAGUUUUUGGUAUUUCAAUAUCUUACAACACUCUCUUUCCAGGUAUGACAAAGGCGGUUACAUGUUUUUACCUUCUUAUCUCAUGCGUACUCAUGGAUCGAGACAUCAACAAGAUGCUGUUAAGGGUAUUCCUGCAAGACAAAUGCAGAAAGUAUACGAGGUAAGAAAUACAAUAUUACCUUCUACAUAUGUAGUUCUUUUGUUGGUUACAAGACUGGAGAACAUGCAAAAAUAAUGCUUGAGGAAGACUCUUUCCCUAAUAUUGGGUAGAUAAAUUCUGGUCGUUUGGUUCUUGUCAUACUAUUUAUUUCCUUGAUGAGAUUAUAAAUCUAUCCCUGAAGGGAUGAUAAUUUUUAAUGCAGAUUUUAAUCAGUAGCAAUUAAGGGGGCACUUGUCCACCAAGUAGCUAGUUAGCUCAUUUUUCAUCCAGUGUACCACAAAGUUUCUAGUUGUAGCUUAUCCACACAUUUUACUAACACCAAUUUCCAUAAAUAGGCAGUAAUGUUUAUCAUUCAUUUUGUAGGACUUAGGUUUUAGUUGAUUUUAAUUUUUCAAAGUUUCAUGUCUUUAGGCUUAUUACACAUUGCCUUGUGAAUUAAGUAUCCGGUCGAACACGGUUACAUUGACGAGUCCAACACGGGUACUCCUUACUUUUGUCAAUUUCUUAAAAUGAAAGUGUUCAACAUCAAUACCCUUAUCCAAUUCCAAGUGUUGAUUGUCGGAACGGGUACUUCAGGUUAAAGUGUCCAUUUAACAUAGAUUGUGUAAAAAAGGAUUGGGUGUUUGUGAAGCAUUUGUUGCCUCAUUGUGAUGUUAUUUGGGAAUCAUGGCAGAUGGUGUUUUUUUGUUUGGGCCUUGGGGUUGUUUGGGUGAUGCUUCCGCAGUGAAGGAAUUCUUGGGGACUUGGCAAGGAAUGCCUCUUCAUUGGUUUGCGGAGAUGGUGGAACUUGAUCCCUCAAAUGUCUAUGGUUGACUCCUAGGAAGGAGAUAAAUCAUAGGUGCUUUGGGGAUAGAGAGAGGUCUAUAAAUCAUAUUUGGUAUUAGUUUUUUGUGAGCUUGCUCUUUUUCUUGGGACCACAAGGUGUAUCCUGGAUAUGUUGUUCCAUUUGUCGAUUUUUUGAGUUCUCAUUAGGUGCUGUAGGCCAGUACUGGCGUUUCCUGCCAGUAACUUUGGUUGGCUUGAGUGUAUGGCUGAGUUGUGAUAGGGCACUUAGGUGUUAUUUUUUUGUGUGGGUAUUUUAUGCAUUGUUUUUGUAUACCUCCUUGUGUCACCUACUUUUGGCGCCUAGGAAUACGGAGGUUUAUCCUGUUUUGGAUGUGAAAACUGAUGGCUAUCUAAGUGUAUUUGAUGAAUAAAUUAGAGAGGUAUAUCACUCAUGUAAAGUGUCCUUAAAUAAUUUUAAUUUAAAGCAAUCCCCCAGUGCUUUAUUUUUUUUUUCCAAUUUUUUCCCCUUCCCGUUCUUAUAUCUCUAUUGCAGAAACUCAUACCAUUGCAUCAGUCUUAAUUAUUUCUACUUUUGUCAUGAAAACCUUAAUGAUUGAUUGAAGCAUCGGUAAAAGUUAUGAAAUUGCAUGUAAAUUUAUAUGUAUCUCGUGGACUGCGCCAUGUGUUAGAUAGUGCUAAUUGUGCUAGAUUAUUGCUUGUUGAGAAGACUGCUAGACCAAGACAUUCAUUAAUUUCCAACUGUUAUGAGAUUAAAUUAUAACUGUUCUACUUGCAUGUGAAUAGGCCUUGGAUACACUAGGGAAUACAAAAUGGAGAGUGAACAAAAGAGUACUUAGUGUGGUGGAGAGCAUUUGGGCUGGAGGUGGGAACAUUGCUGGCCUUGUUGAUCGUGAAGACGUGAGUGUGACCUGAAAUUUCUUUCCAUGCAGCUAACAAGUUGGUUGUAUAUCAUAUUGAUAAUGUCUACACAAACAUCUGCUUUACUAUAUUUUUUAAUAUUUUUUUUGACAGUAGACAGCAAUGUCUCAUGUAUUAAACACAUUAGAGGUUCACACAAUGACCUGUUUGCAUUUGGUUUUGAUAUUCAAUGGAAAACCAUUACUGCAACCUUUCUGGCUGGUUACUGAGACAUCAGUUUUCUUCAUAAGAUGUAUACUGGGAAUAUAUGCUGAUUAUUAUUCUUGAUUUCUUUGUAGGUUCCCAUACCUAUGCUGCAGUCUGAUGACCUAGGAGAAUUAAAAAAAUGGAAGUGCGGUGUUAGGAAAGCAAAGAAAGUUAACCAAGAGAGGCAUUCUCAACGAUGUGACAUUGAACUUAAGCUUUCGGUAGUAUUUUAUUUCCUUUUCAAGAUUAUUAAGUAUAUUGUUGCUGUGUAAUUUAUCAUUUAGAAGAAACUAGCUUUUUCUCAGUAGCUAUGGAAAUCUAGACUCCUAGAGUUCAGCUAGUAUCAUCAACUUAGUCAACUCAUGAUCUUGUUGUACAAUUUCCCCCCUAUUUAUUCUUGUAGGCUGUAGAUGAUAUCAUGAUUUCAAUUCAUCCGGACAUUGCUGACUUACCUAAUAAAUGAAAUAACUGAAAAUGCUUUGCUUUAUCAAUCAAUUCAGGAGACUAUACUGGUGAUACAAUUUGAUCAUGUAAAUGCUAUAGACUGAAACGGUGUGAACAACUGUAUUUAGAAUAUGCCUUUAAGUUAUCAUUUGAUCGUCCGAAAAUGUAGGACUGGAUUCUAAGAAAGCUCAAAUUGCAGGUGGCUCGGAAAAUGAAAGACGAGGAAGGCUUUUACUAUCCUCACAAUCUCGACUUUCGAGGACGUGCUUAUCCUAUGCAUCCACAUUUGAAUCAUCUGAGUUCUGAUCUCUGUCGAGGAGUACUUGAGUUUGCUGAAGGGCGACCACUAGGGAGGUCUGGUUUACGUUGGCUGAAGAUACAUUUAGCAAAUCUUUAUGCAGGUGGGGUUGAAAAGCUUUCAUAUGAUGGGCGCCUAGCAUUUGUGGAUAAUCAUCUUAAAGAUAUAGUAAAUUCAGCAGACAAACCUCUAAGUGGAAAUCGGUGGUGGCUAAUGGCUGAGGAUCCUUUCCAGUGCUUAGCAGCAUGUAUUAAUUUAUCAGAAGCCUUAAAAAGCUCAUCACCACAUACGGUCAUCUCGCACCUGCCAAUUCAUCAGGUAAGUGCAUCAAUGGAUGCCUUGGAGCCCAAGAGGAACCCUAUUAGUUUAUGUUUCUAAAAUUGUUCUAGCACUUGUGUGUUCAGCAAAUGAAUGCUAGUUAGUGAUCCAAAAUUUCUUGAUGUAGCCCCUAAGUCAACUAAAAAUGUUUCUUGAUCGCCAAGACUUGAGAAAUGUUGAAAGAAAACUGCUUGCUCCAUGGCUAUGAUAAAAAUUAUAACAAAGCAGGUGUGCAAGAUGCCAUUUACCUGAGUUGCAUUUUUUGUCAUAUCUUUAGUCUUAGUUUCUCCAUAUGUGACUACAUUUUAAAAUAUAGAUGGUUUACCUUGUAGUCAUGAGAUAUGGCAUUAUGGCUUAGUAGUUAAAAUAGCUAACCGUUCUGUUUAUCUUAAUGUCAGCAAGUUUAGAUGAUCGUUGUGAUCAGUCAAGAAAAUGCUUUCUAAUCUCUUGAUUUGCCAUAACAUGUUUGAACUCAUAAAAUUCACUAUGAUGGAAUUAUAUUUUGAUUGUAGUAUCAAUCCCCAAAACGUGCAAAAUAUUGGUUCCAUUGGUCCUAUUCAGCUCCUUUGAAAGGAUUGAUAUAAAAUCCGCUUCAUAAAACACCUUGUAACCAGCUAUAAACAUCCAGUAUUUGAGCACAGUUAAUCAAAAUUCAAAUGAUGUAGCUCAUGUAAGUUAGACAGUUAGAAAACCUCUCAUCCAUGUGAUAUAAUGUAAAAGGUGUUAUAAUUUUUGUGGAUAUUUGUUUUUAAAACUCUAUUCUGAUUGAAUUUUUGCCUCCUGCCAUCAAAUGCAUGCUAUCGCUCUCUUAAUUAUACAGCCACACCGACAGCUCAUUAUUAAUAAACUCUUGGCAAUUGUUUGUCAAUGGUGAUGAUAUAACUCAUAAGAGAUAUAUAAUUGUAAUUUGUAUUAUUUAGCCAACUGACUAGUUUAGUUGCACACCAUAUCUUGCAGUUUUUGAUCUGAUCUUAAAUGUGUUUCUGUUACAGGAUGGUUCAUGCAAUGGCUUACAGCACUAUGCUGCUCUCGGAAGAGAUGCUGUAUGUUUGUGUUUCCCACACACUUCGGUUUCAUGCUUUGUUGGAUGAAAUUAUUUUGCAUCACACCGAUUUUUUUUUCCGGUUUAGGGAAAUAUUCAAUAAAGUAUGUGGAAACCCAUUUUCAGGUGGCCAUUGAAGUAUCAUAAAUAUUUGUGUAUGUUCUCUUUUAGAGUUUGUAAUAUUUGCUAUACUAAUUAGGGUUGUAAAUUGUUUGGUUUUUUUUGCUAAACCUAAUUUAAAUUAUAAUUGGAUUUUAUUUUUCUGUUUAAUAUAUUUUCUUUUUCUCUCUCCAAAAUAGUUCAUUUUAUAUGUUGAGGAAAUAUAGAACAUUAAUUACAUCCGCAUGAAAUGAUACUCCCUCCAUCCAUAUUCUUUGUCAGUUGUAACACGUUUUUUUAGUGUUUGUGACAAGAAUUGGAAGACGUGCCAAAAGUAUGCUAAAAUAUCAUAUUUGAUAUUUUUUAAAAUAUUGAAAUGUUUUAUUAUUAACUAUAUUAUAUUAUUGAUAUUUUAAAAAGUGUAAUAUUCAAAUGUACUUUUGGCACGUCAUAAAAUCCGUGCCACACACACACUUGAGAAUAUGUUGCAAACAAUGUGGAGAGAAGGGAGUAUGAUUUAAUGAACAAAUUGUGAUUAUUAACAUUAAUUGAUUCAUGUAGUGCCUAUUAAUUUUAUCUAUAUUACCAGUUACGAUUUGGUUUUGAUUAAUGAUAGUUUUCACUUUCAAUUUUGUUUGAGAGUUGAAACCAUAAACUGAGUUGAACCAAACCAAGAUGUGGGAAAGUGGAGGUGGAGGGGGGUGGGUGGGUGUCCUUUCUUUUCAUUAUUAUACCAAGUCAAUAGUUGAAGGAACACAACUUAUAAUAUUUGUUAUGUUUGGUUAGGUGUAGAAAAUUUGGUUACUCUUAAACCCCUAAUACUGAUGUGAGAACCAUGUUGAUGGAGAUAGUUUAAUUCCGCCUAGUGGCAUGCUUGUUAUUUUCUGAUCUUCCUAAAUUCCUAAACAUAUAUUUCACAUGAGGUUGAAAUUUUUAUUCUCGUAUGUAACUUAUUGCUGAUAUACUGUAGAAUAUGUGAAUGACCUGCAACUUUAGUUCUCCUUGUUCCUUAAUAUAUUGCUAUUAUGAUUUGUAAAUGCUAUAAUCAUAUUCUGAAAAUAAAGUUCUAUUGCAUAUUGCGAUAUGGAUUAGCUAGAGUACAUUUUAAUUCUCUCUGGUCUGUUGGUGGGUUGUUUUGCAGCUUGAAGCUGCUGCAGUCAACUUAGUUGCUGGAGAGAAACCUGGUGAUGUUUACUCAGAAAUUGCUUCAAGGUAUGGUGUAUAAGUAUGUAUUGUUAACAUAGGACUUUAAAUUGGGACAAAAUGAACAUGAUUUUUUUCUUCUUUAUUUGCAGACUUGUAUACUUUGACAUGCCAUGUAGAUCAGCUUUUAAAAACUUAACGUGUUAGAUGGUUAUCGUUUUUUGUAAAAAAAAAAACAAGGUUCAAUGAGUUGGCCGUUUGAAAAAAGCGUUCAGUGCUGGUUUUGUAUUUCCGACCUCUGUUGAGUGAUGAAAAAUGUAUUUGACCCCAUAUAUAAUUGCAUAUAAACUGCAUGUUUCUGUCAAUUAUUUGUGUCCAUUAGUUUAAAUCACUUGCUAGUACGUUACUUAUAUUUGGGAGGUAAAAUAUUUUUGGGUUCAAUGGAAGGUACAUGGAAGUGUAAUAACCUUAACUGAGGAAAUGGAGAGGGAAGAAAAAAAAAAGAAACAUAAAUUUCAGGAAGGAACAAUCAGCUGGGCCACGGCCCUUGUUAUUUAGGCUCAAACCAAUGGGGUUCAUUGUCAUAAUCUCUUGGGUUUCUCUCAAUAUUCUAAAAAUCCCUGCUUAUCCUAGUCAGACCAUAGGCGUCCAUUCGCUGAGGGGUUCCAAACAUACCAUAUUAUUAUGAGUCACGAACAUACCAUAUACAUUAGUUUUAAGAACCGCACCUAAUCCUAAUAAUAUUUGACUAAUCUUAAUAGUUUCUAACUAUCAAAUAUACACAUGAGAAAAGAAUCACCUUUUCGCCACAUAUACAUUGAUAGCGCGAUACCAACAUAGGUCCGAUUAAUUCCUGCCUAGGCGCUAGGCGGUCAUCUAUCGCCUAGAUUUGGCUGAGCGCCUAGGCCUCCACCUAGGUAGAACCAGACCUCUACUUUGAAGCUUUACAAUAUUUCAAAUGAAUUUUUCAAUAUUAAAAGAUUGUUUUUUUUAUAAUUUUCAUGUACACUUUCAGAAAAUUACAUCUAUUUUAUGCUUUAUAUAAUAUAACAAGUAUGUAUAAUAGAAUAAUAAAUAAAUGAAUCCGCCUAAGAAAAGGCCUUGUCUGCUUAGGCCUAGCUUUGCCUAGCGACUUUUAGAGCACUGGUUUCUCCGUUUGCUACAGCUAUAUCCAGCUAAUUCCUAGUCAUUAUUCUAUUAGUGUUAUUAUAUAGAUAAAAACUUUGAUCAUGUGAUAUGCAACAAGACCUGAAUGUAUUUCGAUACCUUAACUAAGGAUAUGAUUUGGUUAAAUAAGUUUAACUUGAUACAUGGUGCGAAUGAUGGUUCAACAGUAUUCCUGUAGUUUUGUUCUGCUCAAUUAUUGCACAACUAUAUUGAUAAACUUACCAAGUCUUGUUAUAUUAACAUUAUCAGAGUUUGACAGAGUUUUAUCCUUUUUUCUUCUUCUAAAUACAUGGUGGUUUUGAUGAUACAUUUAAGACUAGGAUAAAAUGUUGGGUUUUUACCAGAGCUGUUAAAAAAUCCAUUUCCUCUUUCAGUAUCUUGUAUGGAUGUAACCAUUUAAAAACCUUGUUAAAUACAUAUGAUCCAAAAUGACUCCGGCUUUUUAAAGGCUGGUAAAACAGUAGGAGACUAUUAUAGGGUAAAUGCUUUGCAGUCAGUAAGCUGUAUAUGUUACAUCCAUCCAGUUAUAUUGAUCAUGUCAUGUUGAAUGAACGUGUCUUGGGUUUUGUUGGGUGAAACUGGCUUUUCAUAUGAUAUACAAUACAUGAGAUAGAAAUGCCUUUGAUUGCCCAACUACUUUAUUUUGCAAUAAGGUAGAACCAAAUUUCUUAUGUUGGAAACCUUGAAUCCAGAAAAAUGGUGAAAAAAGUUUCUAUAUGGAUUUAAAUAAGGCAAUUAUUAACAUUAACAUCUGGUAACAAACUUGAGUUUAUUUAAUUAUUUGAUGAAAGUAAUACCUAUCUUAUGAUGGUCUGACACAGAAAAGUGAUAUUUGUUUCUUCAUUAGAAUGUGUACUGUUUUGUAUUGUACAUGUGGCGAUGUCUGUAUCUCUUACUAUUCCAAGGUGCCACUAUAUGUUGAGAGCAAGAAAGAAGGUUUGGUGUCAGGGAAAGAUGAAGCGGGAUUUACUCUUCUCUUGCGGUUUUAGUUAUAUAUUUCUUUGCAAAUGCAGUAAACUAAUAUGAAAAGAAGUGAAACACAUCAGCUGUUUUGGUUGAACGAAGUUUUAAUAUGUAUUUAAAUAUGAAUUCCACAUUUUAUGUCUUCAUACCUUAGGUUUUCUUUAUACUUUUGGUUUUCUUCUGAAUACUGAGCGCUCCUGUGGUGGUAUAUAAUUUUCUGUAUGUUCUGGCUGUAAUAUUUCUUCUUAUUAUACUUUAUUCUGUUAUUCGCUUUCAAAUAUUACUUUUACCUGUCAGGGUUCAUGAUAUCAUGGAAAAAGACAGCAACAAGGACCCUGCAAGUAAUCCCAAUGCGUUAUUAGCCAAAGUCUUAAUUGGUCAGGUUGUUUUAUUUUGUCAUUUUUCUUUAAUUUUAUUUUUUAAAUCACUCUCACUCUCUCUCUCUCUGCUGUUUUCUUUUGUUAUUGGCUCUUCUAGUCUCCAGAAUCAUGUGCUGUGUAUGUUAUAAAUAUAAUCACUUUAGUUAUGGUCUAUGAUAUCUAGUUUGAUGUUAACUCAGCUAACAGAUGGAGGUUGGAAACUUUCAGGUGAAUCGGAAAUUGGUGAAACAGACGGUAAUGACUUCAGUAUACGGUGUUACUUAUGUCGGGGCACGUGAGCAGAUCAAAAGGAGAUUAGAGGAAAAGGGUCAUUUUACUGAUGAUAGGCUGCUAUUCAGCACAGCUUGCUAUGCUGCUAAAGUAAGCUUCAAGCAACCAAAUACUAAGGAUUUGGUAGUUGGUAUAUGAUAGGAUCCUAGGUGUCCAACCCCACAACUCCUAAAAAAGAAAUAUAAAAAUUGAUUUAUCAGUGGAAUUUCCACAACUUUUAUAUAAGCAAAACAUAUUGCAUUUGAAAACACUAAGCCCUGAUUUUGGAUGGUAACUUAACUAACAUUUUUUUGUUUGUUUAUAAACAACCAUUUUUUAAGUACUAUUGCAUGUAUGUUGGUCUCUAACAGGCCUUCAAAUGUGAGUUCAUGUAACUUCCUAUAUAAUAUGUUGUCUCAUGUUGCAGCUUCCUUUUUAUGUAGUUCCCACGUGUCUGUUUUCUUCACAGCCACAUGCUCUUAUAAAUGCUGGUACAUGUUUUCUGGAAAUUUUGCCGUGUUGGUUCUACCUUUGAUCUUCUUCUUGUUAUUGAAAGAUCAAAGAAGCAUAAUUUUGAUGUAUGACAAAAGACAUGGAGCAUUAUGUGAACAUUUUACUGUAAAUGCAAUAUAAAAUUUCCAGAAGGGUGACCCAUGUACACGGUGUAUACAAAUCUGAUAAUGUGACAAAACACACCUAUGUCUCAACCAGCAUUAUACAAAAAGUUCUAGAAAUUGCUAAGAGAACCAUAAAUAGCUACAACUCACCAAGGAAAUCAACAAAAGACACAAUGGACCCCGGAAAACCUCAUCUGCCAAAAACCACCAAAAAUAACAAGCAUUACCGCCUAACACUCUCUUUGACAUCAAAACAGCAACAAUUCCACAAGAUCCACAAUAGGCAAUGAGUAAUUAAAUGUCACCGUUUCUGCUUUGGCACUUGCGCACCAUUUCAAACUCCCAGAAAAACAUGCACCGGUAUAUAAACUCACAUUUAAGCUGUUCUUCAGGUAUAUCUGUUUGUAUAUCUUCUUUUGCUGCUAACUAGCUGUUUCAAGUUGGCAAUUAGGGGUUUCUUAUUUGAAAAACUAUUAGUAAAGUUCUAAAAAUUCAACAUUGUGUCCAUUCUUUCUACAAUCUUCUACAGGUGACACUGGCUGCCCUUGGAGAGAUAUUCCAAGCUGCACGUGGAACAAUGGGUUGGCUUGGUGACUGUGCAAAGGUAUGCUUUUGAGUAAGUGGGUAAUUACAUCACCAUCGGGAUUCCAGUGAUAAAUUCUUACUUUUCAUGAAGGGUUAAUUAUGGGAUAAUUGAACUUUGCAGGUGAUUGCUUCAGAAAAUCAACCUGUGCGGUGGACAACCCCUUUAGGUCUUCCAGUUGUGCAGCCAUACUUCAAAACUGAACGUCAUAUUGUGAGUGUUCUGUGUUGAUCUCAAGCAACAUACAGUAAACUGAAAAAACAAGCAGAGGUUAUAAUUGCUUUCAUCUUUUGAGAGUAUGUCCAGUAAGGCACCAAAAGUAGGGUGCAACUGCAACCCAUGUAAAUAGUUAUUAUUAUUUUAUUUUAUUUUUUUAUUAUUAUAUUGUUAUUAACUUAUUACUAUUAUUUUCUUUUUCCGGACUAUUCUGUGGAAACAUGUUCUAUGUAGAAGAUUUACGGUUAGAGUUGUUCACCAAAGACAGACCUUUAGUUGGAACUCAUUCAUGUUCUAUAAUACCAGGCCAAAAUAUACCAAUUUUGGGGUACUAUCUUGUACAUUGUUUGGAAUACAAGAGUUCAAACAAUCAAAAUUGGUGGUCUCUAAUUGCUACAAAAUAUGCGAGUUAAUGCUUGACAUGCUGAUCAUUCUGAUUAAAUCAUCUGCAUGUACUAGCUUGAGUACAAAGUACAAAUCCAACGGUCGUUUGCACACAUGUAAUUAGAACAAUCAGCCAUAUGCUGCUCAAACCCUAGUUUGCUUUCUGAAAUCACUUGUCAAAAAAGUAGUUUGGUUUCUUAAAGUUAGGAGGUCCAAAUUAGAGUGCCUUUUCCAAUUGAACAAACAAUCUUGAAUCAAAGUUAUGCCCCACCAAUUUUCCAUAUGCCUUAAAAGAAUCUUGUGGCAGUGUAGUUACUUAUUGCACCACAUUGUUGCAGAUAAAAACAUCUCUUCAGGUUUUGGCUUUGCAGCGUGAGGGUGAUUCAGUAAGUUAAGAUUUAUUUUAAAGAAGUAUUUUCUCCUCUAUUUUUAAGGAUCUUAUUAGUUGCCAACACUAUCGUUAUUGUGCCCAACUCAGGUUGAUGUUAGAAAACAGAGAACUGCAUUCCCUCCAAAUUUUGUCCACUCUCUUGAUAGUACACAUAUGAUGUUGACUGCCGUUGCCUGCAGGGAUGCUGGAUUGCAAUUUGCAGGUUUGUGGUUCCCAGCAUUUCAUUCUACUCUAGAUAAGAUUACCUACUGGAAACCUCCAUUAGUCCCUCACUCACUCCCCCCAAUGUAACUAUAUGCUCAUCCUAAUACACAAUUGAAUUUAAAAUGUUGAUGUAUGUGUGAAUAUUUUCUAUUGCCAGCUCUAGAACCAAAUUGAUGUAGGAAAUACAAAAUGAAUACUGGCUGGAGUUACAUAUGAUGGAUUUGGUUUAUAUUGAAAGAUUAGAAUGCUGGAUUCUGUGUAUAAUGUUGAAUAUNNNNNNNNNNNNNNNNNNNNNNNNNNNNNNNNNNNNNNNNNNNNNNNNNNNNNNNNNNNNNNNNNNNNNNNNNNNNNNNNNNNNNNNNNNNNNNNNNNNNNNNNNNNNNNNNNNNNNNNNNNNNNNNNNNNNNNNNNNNNNNNNNNNNNNNNNNNNAUGGAAAUGUAAACCUAUUUAAACUACCUAAAGCCUUUUUUUCCCCUUAUUUUUUUCAAGCAGUAACUGAAGGCCAUAUGUAUCCAGUAACAUAAAUUUACUCAAAUAAAGAGCAUAGUGCAGUAGUUAAUUCCCAGAGUGUUCAAAAUACCCCUCGAUUUGUGGGACUUAAUUAAACACAACUUUGAUAAGAAAACAACAGUGAAGCAUCAGGUCCCUGCUUAUUGGUAAAUUCCCAAACCACUCUUGGUCGUGAUUCAAGCCACACCAACUGCACAAUUCAACAAUACAUUCUUUCCUUUUUUCCCUUUACCAUAAAACAGAUCAGUGAAGAUAAUGAAUUAACAUUGGCUUAAAAUUGAUUGUAAGACCUCAACAUGAGCUAAAACUUGAUUAUAACAAAUUUUGUAUGGGUCAAGUAUAUAUAAUGGCUGUAAUGAUUAGAAGAAAUCUUUUGUGGUACAAGUAUAUUGGGGACUGCAUAAGACUGAUGUCGAGCACAUUGAGUUUUUUCUUCCUGUUACUAACAUUUGGCUUGAGAUACUGGUAAAGAAGUAAAGCUUCUUAAAAGCAGCACCUAUAUAAUUUGUUCAAGUUUUGAUUAAAGGCCAGUUAAGUUCCCAAAUAAGUAAAUAUUUAUGUUUUUUGAGCAAGUUCAACUGGCUCUGGAGUUGUAGCUGUUCCUGUUUAAUUGUUUUUCCCUUUCCAUUAAUUUUUAUGUCGUGUAUUUCUAUGCAUUGCCCUUUAAAAGUUAAAGUGCGUGUUGAUAAGUUUAAUCUUUUGUGAUCGGUAGCCAACUAGCCAUCUAUUUGAUAUUAUUAUCAUUGGUUAAAAAAUUAGAUCAUUAGUCAAUCAUGCAUUUAAACAAGCCGUGUUUUAAAAGUUGCUAGGCGGACCUAGGCGGUGAGGGGGAGCUUAGGCGUUUUCAUAAGUUGCCUCACCUAUUUAUUUUUCAAUUGUAUAAACUUGUUAUACUAUACAAAGCAUAUAGUACAUGUAAUUUUAAAAAUUUUACAUUCAAAAAUACUGGAAAAAAAAACUAUAUUUUUAGGGUAAACAUAUUCAUUUCAAGUAUUAUAGAGCUUCAAAGCCUUUGUUAAAUCGAUGCAGUAGAGGUCGCCUAGGUGUCCAUCCAAAUCGAGGCGGUAGAGGACCACCUAGUGUCUAGGCGGGGGUUAAGCGGACGUAGACGAGGAUUUUGAGAACACUGCAAACAAUUUAUUGUGUUUCUCUAUUCUUGGUGUUCUAUGUCUCAUUGUUAAUGUCAGAGCUUAUACAACGGCUUUCUUAUCUGAAUUUACUUAAUUAUGUUUGAAUCAGUACUCUUCUGUUUUGAAAACAAGAAAUAUCUGUUGAAGCUUGCCUUAGUAUCUACAUUUCCAAGGCUUUGUAUCCCCCCUAAUGGUGAUAAUUGAUGAAAUUCAUAUAAACAAUGAAUAUAUUUCUUCUGAUGACACUGCGCCUUUAUCGCUAGUCAAUCCAUGCCAUAUCCUAAGAUUUCUAACAAUCAAUCUUUGCCCAAAGCUUUUAAAGCUAUCACCUUGAUUGAUAUCUCUAGUCUUUAGAAGAUUCAAAAAGACACCAAAGAUAAUUCAUUGUCUUGUAAAAUAUAUUGCAGGGGUGCACGAUUCUUUUUGGACCCAUGCAUGCGAUGUUGAUGAGAUGAAUCAAAUACUAAGGAAAAAAUUUGUGGAGCUCUAUAGUAUGCCAAUACUUGAAAAUGUAAGCAUCUUAGAUACGCAUGUUAAAUCCUUUGUGGUUGUGCUUGAAUAUCUCAAUAUCCUUGCAAAGAUUUCUUGGGUUUAUUUUCCUAUUCUUAUUUACUUUAGUUGUUAUGUUUAUUUUUCGUACUUUUUUUUAUUCUUCUCGGUUAUAGAUUUUGUAAGUAUUGAUGAAAGUAUGGAAGGAAUAUAGCACUCAUGGAUUGUAGCUUUAAUGAAAUCCUUUUACACUGAUCUAUAUAAUCAGUCUUUUACUUGUCCUGUAAGACUGUUGCAAGCUGUCACUUUGGUAAUUAAUUGAACAAAUAAAAUUGGGUGUAAUUUAUAAUGUUCUACAGAAUAGGUAAUAGUCAGUUGUUGUACUUUCAACUGAAGCAUUAAUUUUUGUGAAAUCUUUAACGUUAGAACGUGAUAACGACAUACAAACACUGAUUUUUGACUCUUGUAAUCAGUUGCUUGAGAGCUUCCAGAUAUCAUACCCAGGAUUGACAUUUCCUCGGCUCCCAGAUAGAGGCGACUUCGACUUGCAAGAUGUUCUUGAAUCUCCAUACUUUUUCAACUGACCUCCACAUUUCAGGAGCAUCGUGCACCCAUAUGGAUACACUACAGGCGCCAAAAUGCAUCAAGGGGUUACUGAAGUCUGUUUUGGAAAAAUAGGUCAGAGUUCUCCCAGAUUAAGAAGAUAGAGGAAAGAAAGCUCAGGCUUUUCCUAGUCUUGCCUGGAGGGCCUGUAGUAAUUUUUUAGCAUCAAUGCUGGAAGGGGCUUCGAGAUGAUGGUUGUUGAUAUAUCAGUAUCAGAAUAACAAGGAUUGAUUGAAGUUUGCUGGACGAACUGUGGUCAGGUAUUUAUUUAACAAUACACCACGCCUGAAAAUUAAUCCCGUUUCUCUCGCUUGAAGCUAAAGCUACCCUGCCGUGCUUUGUUAUCUAACCAUGCAUGUUACACCAAAGAUUUGCUUUUUCUAGCUUCUGCAAUUAGAUUUGGAAGCAAGCUAAAGCUACCUUGAAGUGCUCAAAGGAAGCACCUUCGUAGUUGCAUGGGGACUAAGGAAUUUUGAAAUUAUAUUAUUCCUGUUUCUCGAUUGAAAGUUGAGGGAUGGCAAUGGGUUGUACAUGCAGACAUGGUUCUAGUCAGGAGAUUUCUGUGUGUUGUACAAAAAUACACGAAGAAAAGCAUAUUAUAUUUGGAAUAUUCAGAAUCUUAUUGUCUGUACAUGCCAAUAGCAAAUUGUAGCUAGUAAUUAUUUUCCGCUCGAGAGAAACUUGAGAUUCUAUUAUUAUUAGUGAUCAAUUUGUAUAAUUCAAAAAUAAUACAAAUUUAUUUGGUUUUAGUAUAAAUAACUAUAACUAUUAGUAUUACUCCACAAGUUAACUAAAAAGUAUGUAUUUUAAAAUGCUUUGGAAUAUUAAUGGUUAGUUUAAUAACUCAAUCAUGUGAUGUAAACCAUGCAUGCAUAUAUUCCACAUGGUGAAUCUUUAAUUCCCGCCUGCUCCCGCAAAAAAGGAUUAAAUUAAGCCAUGUGACUUGUGAGUGAAAAAAAAUAAGAAUAAUAAUAAUUACUAAAUGACAAUAUGUAGUAGAGGGGUGGUUGUGGACCUUGUGGUCCAUUUUAUUUUGGGUCCUUUACAUAAGUAUACAACAAAUAGAAAGUAAUUACAAGAAAAGUGCAUCAACUAAAUAAUUACAAAAAGAGUGUAAUUAAGACUCAUAUUACAAAAAUAGUACAAUUCACAUUAAUAAAGAAACCUAAAAUCAAGGAUAACUAAUAAUUCAAAUUCAAAUUCAAAUCUUGUCUCUAACAACAAUUUCAAAUCCAUAUUUCAAAAUUCAAAUCAAAAUGAGAAAAUUAAAAAUAAAAAAUUAUGAAGGAGCUAAUGUUCAUCAUCCUCCUCUCUCGCCNNNNNNNNNNNNNNNNNNNNNNNNNNNNNNNNNNNNNNNNNNNNNNNNNNNNNNNNNNNNNNNNNNNNNNNNNNNNNNNNNNNNNNNNNNNNNNNNNNNNNNNNNNNNNNNNNNNNNNNNNNNNNNNNNNNNNNNNNNNNNNNNNNNNNNNNNNNNNNNNNNNNNNNNNNNNNNNNNNNNNNNNNNNNNNNNNNNNNNNNNNNNNNNNNNNNNNNNNNNNNNNNNNNNNNNNNNNNNNNNNNNNNNNNNNNNNNNNNNNNNNNNNNNNNNNNNNNNNNNNNNNNNNNNNNNNNNNNNNNNNNNNNNNNNNNNNNNNNNNNNNNNNNNNNNNNNNNNNNNNNNNNNNNNNNNNNNNNNNNNNNNNNNNNNNNNNNNNNNNNNNNNNNNNNNNNNNNNNNNNNNNNNNNNNNNNNNNNNNNNNNNNNNNNNNNNNNNNNNNNNNNNNNNNNNNNNNNNNNNNNNNNNNNNNNNNNNNNNNNNNNNNNNNNNNNNNNNNNNNNNNNNNNNNNNNNNNNNNNNNNNNNNNNNNNNNNNNNNNNNNNNNNNNNNNNNNNNNNNNNNNNNNNNNNAGAAGAAGAAGGGAAACAUAAAUGGAGUGGGAGAAAAUCGUGGGAGAGAUGGGGAGAAAAUUGUGGGAGAGAUGGUUGAGAAUUAAAACACAUCCCAUAAUUAAAGGAAUCAUAAAUAUGUACUAAUAAUGAAAAUAAAAUUUUAAAGAUAUUAAUUAUGUAAAUAUUUAAUGAGGGCACUUUUCUUGUAAUUAUAUUUUUAAAUAUACUAUAAAAUGUAAUUGUUCUUUUUAUUUUUAAUAAUGAAAAUUGGUCGGGAAUUAAAGGCCAACGAUAUUUGUAUACGACAUUCACAUGGUGUCUAAAUAAAUAUUUAUUUGUCUUACUAGUUACUAGUGACAAAUAAAUACUUCCUCCAUCCCAUAGUUAUAGGCUGAUUUCUUUUGGUACAUAGUUUAAGAAAAUUAGUUAAGUGACAAUUUUUAACAUAAAUUUUCCACAUAUACCCCUUAAUAUGAAAUUAAUGAAUAAGUUAAUUACUCCUUACUUAUUACAUUGGAACUCUCAACUUCAUUGAUUGACAUGUACUAACCAUUAAAAUCCAUAAAUUUUAACCAAAGAAAAUACAACAACAUUAAAUGUGGUGAUAAAAAUAAUGAUAUUGAAUGUUGUUUCUUCAAAAAAAGAGUAAUUGUUGAAUAUUUAUUAUAAGGGUAUAAAAGUAAAACAAUGAACCAACUAAAUUUUAUAAAUAGUAAGUAGCCUAUAUAUUGGGACAUCUCAAAAUGGAAAAUCAGCUUAUAACUAUGGUACGGAGGGAGUAUAUUAUACUCCCUCUGUCCCAAAUUAAUUGUUCAGUUUUGAUUUUUUAAAGUCAAAUUGACCGUUUUUAAAACUAAUUUUUUUACUAUUUUUGCUAUAAUAUAGGUGAAGAGAUUAUAACCAAAAGAAAGUAUAUACAAUUUAUUAUUAAUCCCAAUUUUUAUAAUUUUAGAAAUAUAUUUAUAUAUGCUUAAUUAUUAAUUCUAAAAAUAGUCAAUUUGACUUAAAAAAAUCAAAAUUAAAUAAUUAAUUUGGGACGGAGGGAGUAUAUAGACAUGAGACAUCUAGUGUCCAUCGAUCUCCCCUGGCCAGUUGCUAGUGUCCAGACUCCAGAUAGAUAGCUGCUACCUCUUCUUAAUUCAUCACCAUUAAAUUGGUUGUGGUAAAUGGUAGUAAUCUUUUCUCAGCCAAGCACUAUUUUCAUAAAUGUUUUUUUUUUUGAAAUAUUUGAUUCAGAACAGUUAAUAUAUUAGAUAAUAUAUACUCUAUAUAUCCAUCUAAAAAAUGGUCCUAUUAUUUAAAAUCGGUGUCAACAAUAUAUACUAAUGAGAUGUAGGAAGAAUGUGAAAAUAAAUAAGGGAGUUGCUAGCUCGCUCGCUCGCUCGCUCAAACUUGUCACAUGUUUUUUAUCAUAAAUUUUUUCUUACAUUUACAUUGAUAAUAAUUAAUGUUAUAUUUAUAUUAAUUCAUACAUGAGUAUAGAAUUAAAAUACAAUAUUUAUAAUAGUAAAUAUAAAUUUCACGGUGAUUAAUUAAAGGUGCACGUUGACUUAGAAGCUUAUAUAUUUUCAGCAGGUUGUUCAUAGCCAUGGAGUGGACCCCAUGGAUAUUAGUAGUAGUUAUAUAGUAGUAGUAGUAAUACUAAGUUUCAAUCGCCAGGUCCAGUUUCAGAUCGUCCGUAUAUAUAUACAUGACUACGAUAGGUGCAUGCAUGCAUUCAUAUNNNNNNNNNNNNNNNNNNNNNNNNNNNNNNNNNNNNNNNNNNNNNNNNNNNNNNNNNNNNNNNNNNNNNNNNNNNNNNNNNNNNNNNNNNNNNNNNNNNNAUUCAUAUAUAUAUAUAUAUAUAUAUAUAUAUAUAUAUAUAUAUAUAUAAUAAAUAAAUAAAUCAGAGACGCACAUGCAUGGAGACAAAAAUUAAAGAAGCCCCUCGCUACAGCCAUGGCCCAUGAGUCCAGACAAUUAUUUAGAUAGGGUAACGCAUAUAUGGUGUGGAGAUUGCAGGUAGGGUCCCACGUAAGAGGGGAAGAUAUUCAUCCAUAAAAAAAUUUAUAUUAAACUUUUUUGUGUAGAGUUAGUGCACAUAAUGUUAUCCUAAUAAUAGUAGUUUUAGAGGAAAAAAAUUAUUUGAAAUGGGCCAAUUUGGAUCAUGAUCCAUAUAGGACAUAUCAAUUGUCCAUUAAAAAUAAAUACUCACUCCGUCCUAAAUUAAUUAUUCAGUUUUGAUUUUUUAAAGUCAAAUUGACUAUUUUUAAAACUAAUUUUUUUACUAUUUUUGCUAAAAUAUAGGUGAAGAGAUUAUAACCAAAAGAAAGUAUAUACAAUUUAUUAUUAAUCCUAAUUUUUAUAAUUUUAGAAAUAUAUUUAUAUAUGCUUAAUUAUUAAUUUUAAAAAUAGUCAAUUUGAUUUUAAAAAAUCAAAAUUGAGCAAUUAAUUUAGGACGAAAGGAAUAAAUCAGAUCAUUAAUUCAUUAUCACACUUGUCGGAGCGUAUUAAAUCUGAGUAUGAUUUGCUCUUAUCACCCAUUAGUUAAUCUCUUCCACCUAUAAUAUAUGACGUUUUAGAUAAUUUUAUUUUUUUAAAAAAUUAUUUAACGUUUUAUAUAAUCUAGGAGAAUUAAUCACAAUCUUUCUAAAAUUACUCCUCAUGAAAAAAUGUUAGAGAUGAGAGAGAAAGAAUAUGAGAUAAAUAUAAUAAAAAGUAUAGUAUUACAUAUAAUUGAUAUUUUAUUUAAUAUUAUGUAUAAUAAUUUUCUUAAUUCUUAUUCGUAACGUCAUUUAUGUCAUUUAUUAUGGGACAAAAAGAGGAGUAAUAAAGGUUCAAUAAUAGCACCUUCUUGUUCACAUGCCACAUGCCAAACACAUAAACACCCAUGCAUUUAAUUUAUACAUUGACUUCUCGUGUGUAUGCUCAAUUUCAAGAUAUUAGUACCUUGAUCUGCGCCAUAUAAUUGGGGAACAAGUAAAUUUUGAUUAUCCAUAAAUUUAAAUAGAAACUAUGCAUUUAAUUUUAGUUAAUACAUGGAUCAAUAUUAUAAAUUAUUUAAAAAAUAUUUAAUAAUUAUAAAAUUUGUUGUUUUGUAAUUUUAAAUUUCUCUUAUUAAUUUAAAUUUAAAAAUAUUAAAUUAACUUUCAAAAGUUAAUACUACUUAUAAUCUUAUAUAUUACUCCCUCCGUCCUAAAUUAACUGCUCAGUUUUGAUUUUUUAAGUCAAAUUGACUAUUUUUAGAAUUAAUAAUUAAGCAUAUAUAAAUAUAUUUCUAAAAUUAUAAAAAUUAGGAUUAGUAAUAAAUUGUAUAUACUUUCUUUUGGUUAUAAUCUCUUCACCUAUAUUUUAGCAAAAAUAGUAAAAAGAUUAGUUUUAAAAAUGGUCAAUUUGACUUUAAAAAGUCAAAACUGAGCGAUUAAUUUGGGACGGAGAGAGUAACUUAGAAUUAAUGAAGGGAGUACAUAAAUAUCAAGUACACGAAUUUCUAAAUUCAAAUUUAAAAAUAUUAAAUUAACUUUCAAAAGUUAAUAAUUAUAAUCUUAUUAACUUAGAAUUAAUGAAGGGAGUACAUAAAUAUCAAGUACACGAAUUUAUAAAUUACAAUUUUAUAUUAAACUCGUACUUAUAUAAAAUGACAUAUCCUUUUAUUUCAAGAAAAUUUUAAGACAAUCACCUAAAAAAUAAAAUAAUGCAUUUCCUUAGAAUUUAAAACAUGCUAAUUUAAAUAUUGACAAAUAUACAAAAAAAAAUUUAUAACAUACUUAAAAUACAUAUAGGUUUGUGGGGAUAACGAAACUGACUCUUACACACCUCACGUUAACUUUUGAGUAAAUUUUACUACUCCAUUAGGCAUUAGCUAGGCUCAACAGAACAUGACACAAACGUACACAACAAUUAAAAGUUAAAAAAAAUAAAAAAUCAAUUGGCACAGUACAAUUCCUUAUGAGUGCUUUUAAGUAAUUUGUAGUGCGUCGUACGUGCUUGGGCGGAGAGCAGAUCAUUUGUAUCUAAUUUUCCAAUUCCCCACUUAUAUUUUGAUACCUAUUUUUUUACUUAACAUCCGUUAAUUCUAAAAUUAAAUAAAAAGAUAUGUGUCAAAAUAUAAGUAGAGAGACACAAAGGGACAUGAAAAGCGGGCAUGCAAGCAUGUAAUUUAAUUACUUCUUCUGUAAUGCAGUAACAAUUGCAUCUCUUAGUCCAUCUUCAGUUGUGAAUCCAUCAGGAACCCUAACAACGACAUCUUGAAUCAUGAAAUCAUUUAUGGUGGACAUGUUUACUUGGUGGACUUGUAACUUCAGUUCACGUACCGCACACAUCAAUUUUGCACCCGGAUACUCAGCAUUCUUCCACUGGAUUCGGAUCCUGGCGACCGGCCCGACUAUCUUAAUAUCAACUUCCAAUGUUACCCCAGCAGCAGCAGCAGCUGCAGGUGAUGGUGGUGAAGAAUUAGGCCUUGGUUGGUCAACAGAAUUAUUGGUGGUAUCACAUUCUAGUUUUGCCGAUGAUCUCUUAGAUUCUUCUUUGAGUUGAACUAGUUGGGACUCCAACUCAUCUACUUUGGCUUUCAUUUCAUUAAUGUAGGAUAAUGCAUCAGCAAGCACAGAUGCCUUGUCCAUCCUUGUCACGUGGGGGACCACCGACCGGAGCUCGUAGAUCCGGCAGUUCAGCCUCUCCCUUCGCUGUCUCUCCGCCUCUACAUGGUUAUUCGGAUUAAUAAUGUCCUGUUGGCUACACUGCAGGGCCGGCUUUCGGCCCCUUUUCUUGGCUAUUUUUUUUUUCUUAUCCACGGCCACAGGUAUAUUAUUAUUAAUGUCAUUGGCAGAUUCAAACUGAGGAAGAAGUUCGGAGUCGGAAAGCUCCAUGUUCAGAUAUGAUGACCACUCGGCAUUACUACUACUAGGGUUUGGGUGGUUUGAGAUGAAGCCGAUGAGCUCGGAUCCGAACAGUGACUUAACUUGCUGCACAAGGCUCAAGUUUUCCUUGAUGACGGUGCUUGAGCCCAUUUCAAGGACUCCACUAGAAGUGGGAAUACAAACCAAAGUUUGAAUACCAUGAGCUUGAGCAUCUUUAGCUCUUUUACACUCAGAACGCUGAAGUUGAUGACCACCACUUAGCCAAAUAUGAGCACCCGAGCUUAAGGCCUUGGCGGGAACAGAUCCAUCCUCCGCAGGAAAUGUUCGGGCCAGGGACAUGACGUAAAACCAUUCGGCUUCCGUGAAAUCGCCAUCGACUACGACGUCCAUGUUAUUGAUUUGAUCCCAGCUGGGAAAGAUUAUGGGUUUAGUGGUGGCUCGGAAAUGGCCGUCUCCCCAUGAGAGGAGGAGACGACCAUUAUCGGUUUGCCAGAAAAUGACAUACGCCCAAGAUUCAGCAGGCUGGCUUUCAACUAUGUAUUGAAGUCUCUGUUGAAGGGAAAAUAAUGGUGCAUGUUGUUGUUCUUGAUGAGGCAAAGAGUCAGAUGGAGAAUUAGAAGUUGAAGAUGAGGAGACAACUAAUUCCUCCAUAUGGACUCUAAAUUCUUCUCUUAGAAGGAAUUAAGGCCAAGAGAUGAUCAGCACAGAGAUAGAAAGAGUAUUUGUAGACUAGGGAGAGCUGGACCAUAAGAAAAUGUUUGGAGCUAGCUGAGUUCUCAAUCAUACUAGGGGCGUUUUACUAGGAGUAUUAAAAGAAUUAAAGAACCCCUUACUUUAGUAAAACGCCCUAUAUAUAUAUAGGGGCUUUUUACUAGGGUUAGGGGUUCUUUAACUCUUGUAGUAACAUGAAAUGAGUCAAGUACUACUUGAUCUAAUUAAUCCAUUCCGAAUUGUAGUAAUCCUAAUUGCAUUAAUUAUCUAACCAGAUAGUACUAGUAAAGUAACUGCAUGCCAGAGAAUUAAUUAACCAAGAAGUCUGAGAUGAAGGUGAGAAUCCGACAAAUUCUUAGGAGCAAUCAACAUUCAUGUGGCGUCCGCGUGCAAAUUAAUUAAGCGGGUAGGGUCCGCUAAUUAAGAAGAAGCAGAAGCAGUACAGCUGGACAAAGACAUUUAAGAUUUGGGAGCGUCUGCCCCAAUAUAUAUUCAAUACUAGCAUUGGAAUUAAGUAUUAAUAGUAGUAGUAUGUUAAUUCCACACCACGGUCCACACGUAUAAAAUCAAAUGCCAUGUUUGAUGGAGUACUUGGAAAGACCAAAACAGGGGGUCUAAUGCCUAAAAGGGAUUAUAUUAUUUUAUAUUUUUGUGAUCAAUUGUUAGGAGUAAACAUUUUAGUGUAGUAGUAUUUCCUUAGUUGGUAAGCCUUUAUCUUUACAAAUUAAUUACUUAAAAGUUUCUCUUCCGGGCCUUAACUAGCUAGACUUCAAGAAGGCAAGGCAAUGAAUGGUGGGACGUUAUAUAAUGUUCCUAGGUAACACUACGUACUAGCUAGCUAUGGACUAGAUCUCUUGUCUCAUAUUGUUCUUUCGUUAAUUUAAUUUGUGAAUAGAUGAAAAUUACUUACUUAAUUAGCCAUUAGUAAUAUAUACAUACAUAUAUCAUAUAUGGGAUGAGACAUGCUACUGAGCUUCUUUAGCUCUUUCACAACUUGACCCGUACGUUAAUUUCUCGUAGGAUGAAUAUAUUAAUUCCUGAUACGUAACUGGGUUAAGUUCUUGGCUCUAGCUAGCUAAAUUUAUACUUGUAUAUAUCUUGGUUAUUUUUAGGUAGUCCGUCCGUGCAUGCAUGUUCGUAAUUGCUUGGUACGUAGUCUCCGGCCCCAAGAUACUCCGUAUAUAAGAAUUAAUAGACGGGAUUGGUACGUGAAGUUUAGUAGGUAAGGGAGAACAGAUCGAUCGUGCACCACACAUGAUUUAAGUCAUUGGGCCGGUAUAUAUAAUUUGUUUCAUUCAUGCAUAUUAAUUACUACUCACUUUUUAUUUGUCUACUUUAACUCAUGACUUGUGAAUCUAAUUACUACUACUUAAAAGUUACAAUUACACCAACCAAACAACGAUGCGAUGCAACUGCAUAUAUAUAUACUACUAAGAGUACUAGCUAGUUUUUUGUUUAAUUUUGAUAAAAAUAAAAAAUAAAAGUAUUAUCAAAAUGCUUUAGCAUAAUGUAUAUAUGUUAGGUAUUUUUUUUUAAUUUCUAUGUAAUUUCUUUUUUCUUUUUCUUUUUUUUGGUGAUACCCUGAAAAUAUAUAAAUAUAGUUGAGUUGGGCGUUGCGUCCCAUUCAACAGUUGGCAUUGUAGUCGUGUAUAAAAUACGCUGAAAAGUGGUCCAUUUUGAACAAUGGAUUUAGGCCUAGUUCUAGUUCCGGAAAGAUAAAAUUGAUGGGCCAAUGACUGCUGCAACCAUUGGAUUCUCGGGUGGUCCAUUAGCACCAACUCGCGUAGUGGUCCUCACAUGCUUUUUCCCUCCUCCAACAACGUCAUUCGGUUCAGACUAAGAAAACCGCUUUAUAAGUGGGAGCCCACAUUGUAAAAACCCAGCUAGACUCAAAACAACACUUUCUCUACCCUUAUUUUGGGCCUCUUGGGCUCAGAGUUCACUCGUACUUCAUCCAAUGCCGAAUGACUAGUAUCCUUUAAUUUUUGCAUUCAAACUUUUAAUUUUACUUCAUUACCCCUGUUGGGUUAUCUUUUAGUUUACCAAAUAAUAAAACUUAUUUUCGGCCUCCUUGUAUGCUGACUAAAGAAUAAAGAUUGAUCUCAUAGGGAAUGCUUCUACUUUUGUAUGGGUUAGCAUUGAGCUUUGCUUGGUCAGUUGAUCAUAUGGUUUACGAGGGAAUAAUAUUUAAAAGAUAGAAUACCCCCUCAUCACGUGCGGUUUAAUUUUAAAUCAAUCGUAUAUACAAUUUUAUAAAAUUCGAUGAUAUGAAACAUGUAAGUUAUUAGAUUGACAGAUGAAUAGUAGUUACUUUGAUACUAUAUUCAAGUAUUCAAUUUAAAAUUAAUUUAUGUAAUAGUAAUAAAUAAAAUAAUUUCUCAAAUUAUAUAUUAAAUGUCCAUGUAUUAAUUAUCGGAUGUAUUGGGCAGAAUAAAGAAUCAUGAUGAAAGUUAAAAAGUAAAUUAGUAGGUCAUUUUCUGUUUCUUUUCCUUUCUUUUCUAAAAGGGUACGUAUAUUAUAUUACUACUCAAAUAUUUAANNNNNNNNNNNNNNNNNNNNNNNNNNNNNNNNNNNNNNNNNNNNNNNNNNNNNNNNNNNNNNNNNNNNNNNNNNNNNNNNNNNNNNNNNNNNNNNNNNNNAUAUAUAUAUAUAUAUAUAUAUAUAUAUAUAUAUAUAUUGUUAACGUUAAAUUUUGUACACUUAACAAAAUUAUCAAAAUAACAUGUCAAAAUUGCGCUAACAAAUUGAUUGUAUUGUUGUGAAAUCAAACUCACAUAAAUAUAAAUAAAGAGAUAAAAAAAUAUGAACACAACAAUUUACGUGGAAACUCAAUUAGAAAAAAAUUACGGACCUAAACUCUUGUUUAUAACUGUCAUGUCUACCAGAAUAUAAUAAGGAGUAGAAGUCCUUUGUAGAAUCACCUUAUAACUGCAAUUAAUAGCUGAUAGAUUCAUUCCCAAAUUAAACCUCCUUAUCCCACCAAAUAAAGAAACAUAAUCUUAGUUUAAUAAGGAUUCUCCCGGUCAAAAUAAAUAUAUAUGAUGAGUCAACACCAAAUCUAGUCCAUUAAAUAAAUUGAACUACACCUUGACUAGACCCAAAUAAUUACACACAAACAAUAUAUAUAGAAUUUAACAUCCUUUUAAUAUGUUGUUUAAUUAUAAUUGCUGAUAUAUAGGGUGCUAUUAUUUUUAUGAGAGACUUUAAUUGAUACGAACAAAGUUAUUGAGAAUCACUCAAAAUCCCAAUUGAGUCCUACCAACCAACUAAACUUGGUUUGAGUUUACAUUUGUUGAUAUGAAUGCAGAAAUUAGGUAAAAUAAUAAAGUACUCAGAACAAAAAUAAAAGCCCAAACUAGCUAUAUGAAAGUAGCACAAGCUAACCCACACAGUGGGCAUGAAUUAAAAUUGGGCAGGCUUUGAUAUAUGCAAUCUCUAUGAAAUAGAUGCAAACAAGGCAAUUUAGCAACCACCGUUUCUGUCAAAACCCUACUCCCACAAAUCGAACACAUAUACAAUUCCAGUUGACCAUCAAACACCUCUAUUUUUACUGGAGGCCUAAUUUUUUCAAAAUCUCGGAAAUGAACCGACAGUUUUGGUUUGGUUUGGGCAAGAAUUUCAGGCGUUUGAAUUAGAAAAGGCAUCAAUUCGCGUGCAAUUUCCAUUAUUUCAGAUCUACGACCCUCCUCCUCCUCCUCCAACAAUACUUGUUCUUCUUCUUCUUCAAGUAAAUUUUGGUCUUGUUUUUCAUCCUCAUCGCCAAGAAUUUCGUCCAAAUAUGAUUGCAUACAUGCUAAAUCAUUUUCCUCCUCCUCCUCCUCCUCUUUCCCAGGCAAACAAUUAUACUUAUUUUCACCCGCAGCCUCGGGCGUAUUGUUGUUGUUGUUAUAAUUAAUGUAAUCUACAACUCUUAGCAUAUUAAGAUCGAUAACAAUAACAAUUCUUGAUCUAUCACGGCCUAACAAGGAGUCGGUGGUGAAGUGAAAAUUAAGAAGAAUGUAUGAUGAUAUUUGUUGUGCUAAAUAUUGGACGGUGUCCUGGAAAAAAAGACCUGUUGAUGAAAGAGCAGAGGCAACCAGUAAUUGAAUAGAAUUUCUCGACAGUAAAUUGGCGACCUUGAAUCCACUGACCUUGGUAAUAUUCUUUGUUUUUUGUUCAACUGCUGCUUCUGAUUUGAUCUGAAUAUGAUUAGCAAGGAGAAACAUAAAAAGUCCGAAUUCGGAGACGGUAUCUUUGAAGAGGCUUUGAUCCUUCCACUUGAAUACUCGCAGUUUUGCAUCUUCAACCCGUUCGUUUAUGGUUACCAUGAUAUGAUAGAUAGAUAGAUAGCUAAAUAAUUUAAUUAAUCAAGCUGGAACGGACUAGAUAGAUGCUCAAGUACUUGGCUUACAAAUCUCUUAUUUAUAACCGACAGACCGAACCCAAACACCAUACACACUGAAUUACCUAUUAAGCAAUCCUAAUUGGAUUCGGAUAUCGGAAAGUCUUUUAUCUUUUUUAAUAAAUAAACACGAGGAUGAUUUUCAUUUUUCUACCCUUGUUUUAUGCUAUUGAUGAUAAUUAAGUCAUAAAAACAUUUUUGUAUAUUAGUUGAAUCCCUGUAGGAUUUUAUUUGUUACAUAUAUUUUAGCUUGUGAUAAUUAAUUGUAUAUUUUUUCACAAGGAUCAUGUUUUUAGUUUUAUAUUUUUCUUUUUAUAUGGAUUAUGUACUUGGAUAUCUAUAAUCUAACACUGCAGUCCCACAUCGAAAGAUAGGAGAAAAAUUUGUGUGCAUAUAAGCAAAUAAGUUACUAUCAAUAGUACCUUCAAGUCAUGACUUUUUGGGAACAUGUGGUGGGCUAUGAUGACUCAAGAAGAUACUAUUGGGUCAAAGUUUUAUUUUGAUGAAUUUGAUUCGAUUCGGACUUGGGAUUUGACCCGAGAUUUGUUUCGAAUUCAGAAUUUGACCCGGGUUGUUUCAUAUGGUAUCAGAGCCAGGUCCGGAGGCCAGCCGGUAUUAUCCCACAAUGGCUGUAACGGGGACGUCAGAAAUUUAAGUGGAGAAGUUUGUAACAUUCCAGUCCCACAUUGAAAGAUAGGGAAAAAAUUUAUCUGCAUAUAAACAAAUAAGUUACUACCAAUAAUAUCUUCAAGUCAUGACCUUUUGAGAGUCUGUGGUGAGUUAUAAUGACCCAAAAAGAUACUAUUGGACUGGUGGGCUAUAAUGACCCAAGAAGAUACUAUUGAACCAGUAGUUUGAAACUUUAUUUUGAUGAAUUUGAUUUGAUUUGACCCGAGAUUUAUUCCGAACUCGAAAUUUGACCCGAGUUGUUUCAUAUAACCAUUGGGAUUUUAAAUUUUAAGUUUAAAACAUGAUCCAUAAACACAGCUGGUUGAUAUCCAACGUUCGAAAUAUAAUGCUUUGACCAUUGAUUAUGAAUUAAUGUUGGCUAUAGAUCAAUUUUAAGUUUGUAGAAAGAUUAGGACUUUAAUUUCUCAAAAUCAGUUUUGUUAGAUGAGUCCUGCUAUGAUGCAACUCUGUUCACAAUCAACAUGGGGAAAUCUGAAACAAAAUUGUGUUGCCUAGCAAACAAUACAGUACUUGAAACUCAAAUCCAAAUGCUUCCAAAGGCUUCUUCAAGUGCCCUUUUCUUGCUCAAUUCUAUGCUCCACCCUCCAGCUUUACCACCUCUCUCUGCUUUAAGUUUCAUCAUUUCUUCAUCAUCAAACUGAUAACCCAGCAUUUCAUGUCCCGAUCCGAUUGGGAUUGGUUGUGCAAUGGCGCCUCCGGCAAUUGCGGGGGCAUAAUUCCCACUGGCACUAGCUGCAGCCUGGGAACUCUGACCCAUGGCCUGUAGCAAAUAAAGACAAGAAUGUGAUAGUUGUCAGAGAAACCUCAGGAUACUGGAUAAGAAUAAACCCCACAGCCAAAACCAAAUUCAAUCACUAGCCACUAGAAAGAAAACAAGAGGGUCGUAACCAAAGAAGACCCAGAGUCAGAAAGGCCAACCAAGAAAACAAUAUAUAAAGAAGACUUUCUCAUGCUCUAUUCCUUUAGUUAUUUGUUUUUUUUACCUUCUUUUUUCCUUUGAUUUGUUAGAAUUCCACCAAUUAAGUGAAAAGUAUAACACGCAUAAAAGCUCCUGAUUCAGCCAUGGUUUUCGUGUUUUUGCCUGCUAGUUGCAUAUGCAGGAAGAUCACCUCCUUCAACUGAAAAGUAAUAUAAUAAUGGAGUGGAAUACCCAUUCCCUAACCUCUUAACUUCGCUUGCUCAGCUUCUAAUUUGCUUUGAAGGAAGUAUGAUUUAUCUAUAUUCAGAUAAUAGAACAUAAGAGUUCUUCUGUCGUGUUUUAACUUCUCUUAUUCACGUCCUCGCUCAAUAAGCACAAAGUAGUAAACAAGACUCCUGUCCCACAACUCUUAAACCAGGGAAGCAAUGUGCUAUUUUCACGGGAUAUGCACCUUUCCAACAGCUUUCAACUAGUUUCAGGAUAAUGUUAAAGAGGGUAACAAUCCUCUACUAAGAUAUGGCCAACUCCUACCAUAUGCAAUAGUAGACAUACUCUUCAAUCAUCAUAAGCAACAAAUUGGCACUGUAUUCAUCACUUACAUUAGCAAACUCCAUCUACAAGCUGAAAAGCUGAAAACACGCUAUUAAAUAUUAACAUAACUAAAUUAUCACCACUAGAAUUGACUCCUACAACUCAGAUGAUAUGUCGAAGCUCAUUCUCUAUCAUAUCACUGAAGUAUUAUAAAAAAUUUAUUAGAAAAGAAAAGAAAAAAAAUAAAAGAAAGGACUAAACAAUUGUUGGCUUUGUGUUGAUGUGAAAUAGUAUGAAAAUUAAUAAUUCUUUGUCAAAGUCGAUAUGAAAUAUAUUUUGUUUUAUAAACAUUUAUGUGUGCGUGAUUAUACUCGCAUAAAUACAGUGUGCACCCAUUGGAAAAGUGUCUAGAUCUGCCCCUGCUCCCCCCUUAAGAGCUAUUACGAAACAAGUAAUUGCCUUUAAUAUAUCACUAUAGUUUUGUUCACCCUACACUCCUACAGAACCAUACAAAUAAUAACUAUACUCCUUGGUUGUAAGUUGUAACAAGUAAGCUACUAUUUGAUAAAACUGAAUCAAAAGUUAUGAAUGUAUAAGAGAAUUUGAAUUAGUUAAAUGAAGUAGAAGAUCUAAAUAUAGAAUGACAUGACGUGUUUGAUAAUUGUCUGUCUAAAACAUCUGAAUACGUGUAUUUCUCUAUUCUAACCUUCUGGACUAUUAUGAACAAAUUUAUAAUGUAAUUAUAAAUAAACAAUAUUAUUUAAGAAAAAUUAAAUAUAAACUUGUGAACAAUCUUUGAUAGAGUAUACUAUUAGUAAUAUAAUUUUAGGAAUAAACACUAUUUUUUUUAAUAACAUUCUAUUAGUCCAUAAACCAAAAUAAAAGACUACAACAAUAUUUAUUAAAUUGAUUAUUGACCAAUUUGUUAAAGAAAAAAAUUUAAAUUUUUUUUUGUAAUAACAAAAUUUGUUUACAAUAGUAAAAAAAAUAUAGAUAUUAAAUAUAAUUUUUAAUUGUCUACGAGGUUAUGUAGGUAAAAAUAUUGUUCUAACACUACUUCAACCACAAUUUUGUGGAUGAAUCGUUCAGACACAUUCAAAGUUUAAAAACUACAAAACAAACAGUCUGAAUGACUUAAUCGGUAGAUUCAGACUCAUUCAGAUGAACAAACAGCCCCUAAGAUGAUGAAGCUCCACACUAAGAUGAUAAUAGCGCGAAUUUAGGAAAAUUUUGUAUAAAGGUGUUGGGGAUGCUACUUUAGUAACCUAAGAAUGUGCUUUGAACCAAAGAAAAUUUUGGACCUCCAAGAGUGUCGACUUGUCUACCAGAUCGAGAACAAGUAAAUAUCAAUUAAAAGUCGAUCAAAGUAACAUAUGCCACUUGAGAGAAAUUUUUUGAACCUAUAAGAUAGUCAACUUGUCUACCAGGUCGAGAAUAAGUAAAUCUAUGCUAAAAUGUCAAUUAAAUCAACAUAAAACAACCAAUAUUCACCCAAGAGAGUUUUAUUGAAAUACUAGUGCCACUUAAAGUUAAAUGUGAAAUGUUUGUGAAUGCAUUGCACAACCACCACUUGCUGGAGACAAGAAAUGACAUUCUAUAAGAUGACUCACCGCAUCAUAGUCAGUAUGAACAGGCAGCCCCUUGCUUGCUGCCAAUGCUGCUGCAUACUCUUCAGCCUACUUGACCACAUAAACCACAAUGAGAGAUGAAGAUCACAAAUUUUACACGAAUGAUUAAUAUUAUCACGCUGAAUAUAGUCAAAAGUUUAAUAUUUGAAGAAACAGAUAUUUUGAAUGGAACCUUCCGAGCUUGGGCAUUCAUUAUUUGCUCAGCAUUUUCUUUUUGGUACUGUGCAAUCUUUGCUUCAAUAGCCGGAACAUCUAUUCCUUCAACCAAGUUUACUACUGCAAAGAGAGAGCUUUUCAUGAGAACGUAUCCAUUGUUAAAUGUGGUUAAAGGGUGUCAACUCAUAGAGACUUCACUUAUCAUUUGUCAAUGAGUAACCUUAGUCUAAGAUAAUUAUUAGCUUUAUUUCAAUUAUAUAUCGUUUGAUUAUCAAUAUACCAACUUAAAAGUUACAAAUUUUUAAAACAGUAAAAUUCAGUACUUGAAGUUUCAGUGUUAUUCAGUAUUUAAUAACGCUGGACACAUUUGGAAAACUUACUCAUGUCUUCCACUUCCUCCAAGUAAUCAUUGUACUCCCUUAAUGAAGNNNNNNNNNNNNNNNNNNNNNNNNNNNNNNNNNNNNNNNNNNNNNNNNNNNNNNNNNNNNNNNNNNNNNNNNNNNNNNNNNNNNNNNNNNNNNNNNNNNNGGCUAAACAUUCAGUCCCCAUUCUACACUAAUCAUUAUAAUCUUGUAGAUCAAGUUGUUAUCAUGAAUAUAACAAAUAAUUAUAUAGAAUACAGCAUUUUUUUAGCCUAUUCUAACUCAUAAUUGAAAGGUUUCCACUUCAACAAAUAGAACUUCAAAUGAAAUUAUGAUAAAUAGGAGUACUUGUUUCUUGUUUUUCCUUUCCACUUGAUAAAUAUUUUUUUUUUAAAAACACCCACUUAAAUAAAUACUCAUAUGCAUAUUGUGUCUACUAGAGUUCUACAAAUCUUAAGACCUUUUUCGUCAUAGAGAAAUUAUACCAUGCCUAACCCUAAAAACCAAUUAACUAAAAUUCAAUCUAUUGAUUUAAAAAGAAAAAAUCACCUCAAUAACUAGUCAAAGUCAAUCAUCCCAGAGAUAGAUAAAGUGAUAAACUUUAAAUAUUAAAUAUGUAUUACUACUCUCUGAUUACUUUAAAGAUGAGAAUGUAUUUUUUCAUAACAAAAGUUAAAAAGAAUUGAAUUGCAAAGACAUAAGGAAAAGCCCAUUACAUAUAUACUCUCUCCAUCCCAUAAUAAACGUCUUAACUUGACUUUCACGGUCAAAUUGACCAUUUUUAGAAUUAUUAAUUAAAAUAUUCAUAUAGAAUUUUCAAAUUCCGAAACUUGACACUAGUAGUAAAUUAUCCGUAGUUUAUUAUGACUAUAAUCACUAGGAAUAUAUUUUUAUUUUUUUAAGAUUUAUUAAUUUAGAAAAUGGUUAAUUUGACCAUGAAAGUCAAAUUAGGACGUUUAUUAUAGAACCGAGGUAGUAUAUGUUUGGAUAUAUAUAGGAGGUUGAUCCGUAGCCACAAUUGUAAAUUUAGGUUUAUUCUUACAACAAAUCGUGACCGUCCAAUUUAAGAUCUGACACAUAAAUUAUUAUCCAUCUGCAUUUUAGUUUGGGGCAGUGUUCUAAAAGGCGGCCGCUUAGGCCCCACCUAGGCGUUAGGGCCCCCUAGCACCUCAUCUAGGCAAAAAAAUCCCUCUAAGAAAUUAGGCGAGGCCUAGGCGGAGAGUUUUUUUUAAAAUUUUAAUAACUACCCAAACCAGAUCUUGAUAUAUUUAUUUUUCUAAUGAUUUACCAUAUUCAUAAUGUAGAUUUUAGCAUAUCAAAUCACAACAAGAAGUGAACAAGAUCAAGUCAAAAUGAAUAAUUUUAUUAUAGUUGUAAUUUUUUAAACUUGUACAAACUUCAAAUUAUAUAAAUGAUGAUACAUUUGUAAUAUUCAGUUUAAUUCAAUAUAAUUCUUAAAUUUAUGUUUAGUUUCUUAAGUUUUAAUAUUGAAUUGAAUUCUUGAAAAUUUAAAUUUUAUUAUUUAAUAGCAAUCUUGUUUAUAAAUAAAACUAAUAUGUUAAAGAUAUGUGUUUGAACUUUAAGCAAAUGCUUUUAUUAUCUUUAUUAUAGAUUGUUUUGCUUUAUGUUAUUGUUUUGUUUGGACAAAUGUAAGUAUCGCACAGUUACAAAAAUGUCACUGUUUUUUAAUAUUUUAAUAAUAUAUUGAAUAUUUUAAAAUCACCGUCCGCACUACUAAAGUGCGGAUCCUAGAGGGCAUUUUGGUCAGUUUUUGAGUCUGCACUUUAGUUGUGCUGGCUCCCCCAAACUAAAGUGUGUACGGAUGAUAUUUUUAUCCGUUAGAUCUGUAAUUGGACGGUUAUGAUUUAUUGUAAGGAUAAACUUAAAUUUACAACAAUUGUUAUAAAUCAGCCCUAUAUAUAUAUAGACACACACAUAUAGAGGGAGAGAGGAUACAUAUUGGCGAUACGUUUUCGAAUAGCCAUCUCCUUGGCGAAAGUAGUGGAACCGGGGGCCACCACCACCAUUAUUUUCUUUUUUGCAGCCCUUCCGAAAAGCCUUUUGUUUCCUCCCUCCUAAAAUUUCAGCUCUCGGCAAAUUUUCUUGCAAAACUCAUUCCUGUGUGUUCAUAUGAAAGUGUUAGCAAGAAAUUAUGUACACAGAGAUGGAAAAUAUUGCAUGUGGUCCGUCGCAUGUUUCAUUCCCGAGUAGGUCAUCUGCUGCUCAAUUAGGCAUAGGUUGGGAGGAAAAAAUCAGAUAUUAAGCAUUUCCAAUUUCCAAAAUGCAUAGUCUUUAUUAUUUCAUCUCAAUAUUAACUUGUUGUUUGGAGUUGCAGAGCCAGAAAAUUCCAAAAUUGGGGACAACUGAUGUUAAAUAUGCACUUAUAUAUUAAAAUAGCAAUACUGGUUCCAAGGAUAAAAACAACACUAAUAAAUUACAAUAUCAUUCUUCGGUUUUUAUUUUUUGAAAUAGUUUGCACAAUAGCUUCAUCACUGAUGGAGUCUAAUAUUGGAUAAAACAUCACUAAUAAAUUACAAUAUCAUUCUUCGGUUUUUAUUUUUUGAAAUAGUUUGCACAAUAGCUUCAUCACUGAUGGAGUCUAAUAUAUCUUUCUUUCUUAAUGCAAGUCCCAAAGUCCGUAAAUUCCCUAGUCCCUACAGAUGUUCUAACACAUUAGCACACAAGGGCAAUUAACUUGUAUCUUUCUUUUUCUACUAGUAAUAGUAUACAGGUAGUAAUAAGAAACUAGACAUAAAGUUUAUUCAUGAGCAUCAAAAGGCCUCAUGCUAAUAUUCAACUUAAAUCAAAUUUCUUAACAAAUAAGAGUGAGCAUAUAUAGCAUGAAGAUAUUAACAAAUCUUCUUUGUUCCAGAUUUUAGUAAUAUUUAACAAGUCUGUGAGCAAUUUGACAAAACUUUCAUCUACCGAGUAAUUUUCAAAAAUCAGUUGUCACAUUAUUCAAUGCGAUGCCAUCUAAAUAAUGAGGCAGAGUCUUGGUUCAAACCUUAGAUUUUUGGCUGAAGACGCAGUGUUGGUUUCAUUUUUAUAUUUUAUUUUAUUUUUAGGCAUCACUGGAGACCAGGACUUGAUUAAUCCUAAUCAACAACAAAUUAAACCCUAGAAAAUCAAAAUAGUGUGAGAGAGAGAGAAUUCAGUGAUCUUGACAAGGUCGCCGUCACGAGCUAGGAGAAAGUUGGAGUCGUCCUGUCGGGGAAGGAGUGGAGCCGUCAAUUGUGGUGGUAAGACAAACAGGCAUCGGUCGGCGACCGAGUGUGAGUUACAGAAUAGGAAGGAUAUCGAAGACAAAAGGACGAAAAAUGAAGGGAAUUGGCUUGCCAGUUGUGGCCCACGGCCCCACUUUCACUUUUUUCCUCAAAUAACUAAUUAAUGUUGCGUUUAUGAGUUUGGAGGGAUGGGAUGGGAAAGUAUAGAAGAGGAAGGGAUUAUAGUUUUCCUUUGUCAUAUUUGUGAGUUUUAGAAAAGAAGGAAUGGGAUGGGAUUUUAAUUAAAUUUUCCUUUGUUUGUAAGUUUAGAAGUAGGAAAGGGAAAAGAAAGGUUUCUUAUUUUUAAACUACACUAUUAUUAUAUUACCCUUACUAAUAUAAAUAUAAGAAAUGAUAUGAUUUAAUAAUGUAUAUCUGUUAUAAUUAUUUUGUUUAGUCUUUUUUUUACACACACACAUAUUAUAUAUAUAUAUAGACUUGUACUAUAUUUAUUUUUGUUAAAAAAACAUACAUGUAUUUGAAUAAGCACAAAAAUCCAAUUUGACAAGAAAUUAGAAGAAUACAUAGAUCUAAAAAAAUUAAUAAUAAUAACUUCAUCCAUUACCAAGAAACAAACAAGCAUAAAGUUUGUUUUUCAAAAGAUAUAGAUAAAAUUAAAUGGACCAAAACCAUAUUCAACAACUUAAGCUUAACAUUGUUAAAAAGAACUGCUGACAACCAAUAAAGUAUAUCCAUAGACAACUGCCUAAAAUAAAAACUACACCAAUCAAGUUUAAAAGGAAAUAGAGACAUUAAAAAAAACAAAAACAAAGAAACUACAUGUCUAUUUUAAAGUGUACUCCUUAAACAAACAAUUUCAAGUUGGUUGAAAUAAAACUUCAACUUUUAGAGAUGUUCAUCAUUUUUUCUAAAGCCAUCUUCUGUUUUUCUUGUGGAUAACCGAAGAAUUUUCUCACAAUCUUAUCAUUCUCUAGAAGCCAGUUGUAAGCUUGAAUCUUCAAGAAACGACUCCUCAAGCUCCAAUAACAUCAAUUGCUUAUACUCAUACUGACACCACUCAUGUAUGAAUAUGACUAUCUACUAUUAUAGGACAAGUCCUGUAUAAAGUACUCAAAUAUUAUAUAUGGUAGUACCGUAAGAGAGAUAAUCAUUUUCUAACUCGGUCAGGGUCUUUAAUUUGGCUCAAGCCUUACCAAGCUUAUGUAAUUUUCCAUGCAUUAAUCACUCAUUUGCAGAAGUUGUGAUAACACAACUUCUAGAUGGCAUUUACCACCCUAAUGUAAUAUAUUUUGCUUUUUUCCUUAACGCCCAUAUUGCCUACUAGGCUUUCUCUCCAUGCUUUCGACUGUUUAGCUUCCGUUUAUAUUCACCAAACAACCAAAGCAUUAAGACCAUAUAUAAUUGUUGCAACUUAAAAUGAUGAAUUAUUAUCAUCACAUGAAUCUUCAACACCUCUUCUUCAGUAGUCAUCUAUUAUUUAAAAUGAACAAAUAACAAGUAGGUAAGAAUAUGCACGUAUACAAUACAAGAAAUUUGCAAAUUUUUUGAUUGCCUAGAAAAGAUUACUCGAGAAAACAAAUAUUUAAAAAUACGUAUUUCUGCCACUACGACUUCAAGAAAAAUAGGAAACAUACUAAAACCUUCAAAGAUAUUUUUUACCUCUUAUUAAAGAGAUCUAGAUUCAGUAGCACAAAUGUAUGUUUUAUUAACAUGAGCUAAAACAUUGAUUCAGUAGAGACAAUUUGAUCAAGCCAGGAGGCUAACUACCAUAGUAGUGCACUUUUCAUUUUAGUCACAACUCACAAAAUUUAUCUCAUUCAAACAAAUAAAUUUCACGUAUUUUUAAAUCUAUAGUGAGAAAAGUAAAAAGGUAAAUUUUUCUGAAAUCUCCUAUUACAUAUUGAAAACGCAAAAUAAACUCACAAAUUUCUCUCGCAUAACUUAGUACUACUAAUUACAAGAAAGAGUACCACCAUAUUAGAAGCUUAGUGUUUCUUGCAAUUCUCUCUCACCUACCCAUCAUGAAUUGAGUUACAAGAUUUGCAGUUACAAGAUUUACAGUUACAAGCAUUAUGGAAAUAAAUUAGCUAGAUGGUUUGCCUAAUUAGGUUGCCCCUCAUUCCAACACAUCUACUGUUUUUUCUCGCAGUGUGUAUCAGUCCAUACUCGACUAAUAAAAAUGACCUAUUACUAAGUAAUACAAAUGACCUAAACCUUACAAGUAAUGUCUCUGUAUCAAGACUCAGACUUGGAAUCAUAAUUUUGUAUUAAGUUACAAAAUAUAAUUGGACUAGUUCACAAAUUAUUAGGUGUAAUCUGUAUAUAAACAUAUUCAUUUUUUAUACAUAUCAUCUAACAUCAACAUCAGUAAUAGGGCAUAGCACAUGAGAUGAAGGUCUAGCAGAAACUUGUGGGGUGUUGUGGGGUGGGGUGGGGUGGGGUGGGGUGGGGUGGGGGUGGGGGGGAAUGAAAAAAAAAACUGCUUUGGCAACACGUCUAGUUAUGGCAAUUUGCUAUUGACUGUAAUUUGGAAAGAAAAGAUUUAUAAGAAGUUGAUAGAUUAAUUAACCUCAAAAAAUCACAACUAUCACCUACCUCCAAGCUUUUGAUCAAACAGCUUCUUUUGAUUAAGAUAGAUCUGUGUUAUCUAGUCAAUAUUAGCUUACUCCCUUGCCCAAAUUUGAUGUGCCUAUUUCAAAACAGAACACAAAGAACCAAAUCCAAAUAGAACUACCAUCAAACACAAACAGAACUGCCACAUCACACAAAUAAUCAGAAACUGAAAGAAGAAAAAUAUAACAACAUGAUAUUCAUAAUUCAGAAACUUGUAAAUAAUGUGCAGAGCAAAAACUCUUCAAACUUGCAAUAGAUGCCUUUUCAAAAGCUCUACUAUUCAUGACAUACAUCUGGAAACAAAUACAACAGAGAUACUUGCCAAACCAUUUAAACACAGAUUGACAUCCUCUUAUUUCACAAACAGAGGCUCAAAAGUUCAUUUCACAAGUAAACCUUAUCAAGUACGAACUCGGAUACUCAAUGAAAAUAAACUGAAGUGAAAUCCAAAGCCUGGGAAAUUAACAAAUACUCCCAAUUAAAAGAAGUUAAAAUCUACUGCAGGACCAUCCACAACAAUUGUAUGCAAAAAGAAUGUUUCACAAAAACUUGGUAUCUUUUAAAGACAAAAAGAAGUUGAAAUCUACUGCAGAACCAAACUAUAUGUUUGCAGAGGGCAGGGCAUUCUGAGUUCAGUCUCAUAUAGCUGUCCCUAUUUAAUGCCCCUAUCAGUUUAUAGUGCUAAACAGACAAAACUUACCAUGUCAACCCCUUUAAUUUUCCGUCACUGCAAAUUCCCAAAUUCAUACAAAAAAAAAACAAAAGGCAGAGACCAGGUCGAAAUUCACUUCCAAAAACAGCAAAGAAAUCAAAGGAUGAAUUUUAUGUAGAAGAGAAAACACGAUUAACAUAAAUCUGAGUAUUAUCAAUUUGAAAAAAUUAGGGUACAUGAUUUGGGCAUCUUACCAGAGAUUUCAACAUAAAGACGCAGAUCGGAAAAUUUGACAGAGGACAAGAGAACCACAGCUGCGGCGGAAGCCGCGGAAGAACUCGGCGAGCAAGCGCUGAACUCAGCAGUCUAGAGAGAUAAAAUUUCCAGCAGUGUAGAGAGAGAAAAAUGAGAUUUUCAAAACCUUAAAAAUACUAUAAAAAA
rnacentral:lncRNA from 1 species